rfam:Canis lupus familiaris chromosome 21, whole genome shotgun sequence.
AGGAGCAACAGCCCUAGUGGCGGGGCCAACUCUGGAAACCUGGAUUCAGCCCCCGCAGGAACUCCGGAGCUCUCGGUCUGCAGGGCCUGGAGGCUCCGGGCGGGG